rnacentral:lncRNA from 1 species
ACACUCCAACUCUCAAUUAUUCACAAGUUGCAUGAAACAAAAUUGCCAUUGAUCUCAAACAAUCAACAUCUUUACAUGCAAAUACCAUCAAAAGGACUUUUCCAAGGCUUGUAAUGAGGUUGGGCUAACAAAAUAUUCAACAAUUAAGCACAACUCUCUCACCAAUAUCUCUCAUUCCCAUCUUCUUCCUUUUUCUUUUCUUUUUCAUUGAGCUCAUCUUCAUGCUUUUCUUUUUUUUUUCUUUUAUUUUUCUCAUGAAUUUUACUCUUUUCACAACAAUUGAGCUCAAUGCCUUUUACUUGCUUUUUCAAUUUUCCCCCGUACAACCCCAAACUUGAAACUUUUCAUCGCAUACAAUUAAGCUCAUCCCAAC